rnacentral:lncRNA from 1 species
GCAGUUUGAUCUCAGACUGCUGUGCUAGCAAUCAGCAAGACUCCGUGGGCGUAGGACCCUCCAAGCCAGGUGCGAUAUAAUGUCGUGGUGCGCCGUUUUUUAAGCUGGUUGGAAAAGCGCAGUAUUCGCGUGGGAGUGACCCGAUUUUCCAGUGAGAUGAACCCGGUACCUCAGAUUGAAAUGCAGAAAUCACCCGUCUUCUGCGUCGCUCACGCUGGGAGCUGUAGACCGGAGCUGUUCCUAUUCGGCCAUCUUGGCUCCUCCCUCAGUUCUGGAGACUGGGACAUCCAAGGUCAAUGUGCUGGCAGAUUCAAUGUCUGGAGUGAAAUACAUCACCGCUUUCCCUGCUCCCGCCGCCAUUAAAAUUGUGUUUGGCAUCUGACCACCAAGAUACAGAUAUUUCCUAGACUGUUUUGCAGCUAGGUACUUAGAUAGUAAUGAAGAUAGGGGCCACCAUUCCCUGUGAAAAUCAAGUGGGAAAGUCCUGAGUCCUUUAAUGACUUUACAGAGGACAGAAUAAACUCCUAUCAUAUUCAUGCAAUUGUGCCUAUGGG